GAGUUCUCACAGUGAGUCCCCCUCAUCCCUCAAGUUCUUAAAUGCUGCUUCUCGGAAGGUCAUCCAGCAUCAACAGGUGGAAGUACCCCUGCCCAGCAUCCCCUCCCUCAGUCCCCUCUGUCCCUUUAUUCUGCUUUGUUUCUUCAUAGAUCUCACUGCUACCCAAAAUGAUCUUUCUGAAUUUGCCUAUUUUGCUAUACUUAUGCUCCAUUUACCAUAUAAAAACAGUUUUUUUGAGGUGAAGCCUCUUUCUCACUGCAAAUGAGGUGCCUAAGGAAAGUGAGAAGAAUGGGCUGGGUGCACAUAAGCGGGAAAUCAUAGUGGGAACAAAUGACACUUGUCCUUCUUUGACUCAUCCUCUCCGUAGUCUCUGUAAAGAUUGGUAAAGCUAGACAUACAGUCACACAGGAACUCUAGACAUGCCAAGUAUUUUACUGGUACAGUCUCUUUUAAUCCUUACCAUAACCCUAUGGCAAUAGGUUUUCAUUCCUAUUUUAUAGAUGAGGAAAGAAGUUUACAGACCAGGAAUGAACCCAAAUCAAACAUCUGAUCAAUAGUGAAUUCAGGACCCCAUGCAGGAAGUCUAACUCCACUGUUUGAGUUCCUCCUGACCACUGUAAAACAGCCUACCAGUCCUACCUGCCAGAGAAGGCCUCAUUAAACAUGCAGUUAAACAUCUACUGCAAGAACAGUGAGCAAAGGAAACUCCAGAAUACCAGCCAUAGAAAGAGUUUCUUUAAAAAAGAGUUUCUUGGAGCUGGGGAUGUGGCUCAAGAAGUAGCAUGCUCGCCUGGCAUGCGUGCGGCCCAGGUUAGAUCCUCAGCACCACAUAUGAUGUUGUGUCUGCCGAUAACUAAAAAUUAAAUGUUAAAAUUUUUUUUAAAAAGAGUUUCUUUACAAGAGCAGAGCUGUGGCUACUUUUGCUUUGCUUAACAGUUUUUCAUUCAUGACAUUCUGGCAAUACAGGGUAUUGGGAUUGACAGCCACUUGGGACAGGAUAUGAGUGCUCAGUCACUUCCCAAGGACAUGACUGGUAUGGAGCGGGUUAAGCUUUGCAAACAAAAGCUCCUUCAGCUCUGAAAGAGGCAUCAUUUGAUUCUUCUCCUUCUGCAGAAAUGCAUUUUUGGCAAUUAGCAUGGAGUGUUUGGGUUGCAGUGUUGCAUCAGUUACAUCGUCUCUUGUGUCUUGAUUUUAAUGUUUGUGUUCACAAAGAAGA
rnacentral:lncRNA from 1 species